UAGAAGUAUAUAAUACUACGUUUGAGUUUGCUAUACGUAUGCUGCGCAUGCGUGUGGUUAGAGCGACGCGAAGUUUUUGGUUUUUCGGUUCGUUACGUACGAGCGAGCACGAACGUACAAGAGCGCGAACGAGUCAAGUCGUGUUUUUUUACAUAUAUAUUUAGUUUUCGUUUUGAUAAGUCAGUAUUACUAAAAGCAGUGUAUUUUCUUAUUAAAUCCGUCAUUUUAAUACAUAGCAUUGUGUUAUGCAUCCUACUGCUCUUGCGCUGCCCCGUUAGCAGGUUAUGGGCCCAGGCGCGUGGCGCAUAACAAAGAAGCAGGUUAGGAUAUCGCAAGUGCUAAAAUCAACGAGAUGGCUACGGAAAUUAAGGUCCAAGUAGAUAAGCUGGAAUCAGAAGCAGAAUGGAUGACCUGUAGGAUGUCAUGUCAAGCGAUCGAGGAAUUCUACGCGGUAUUAUGGACGAGGACAGAUAGGAGGCGGAAUUUUUAAUAAAAAUAAUUGGUAUUAUGCUAAAUUAUCUGAUAAAUGUUAUAACCGAGAUAACAAGAUCAAAGAAAGGUCAUGGCAAAUGGAUGAAUAAAAUUUUCUCGUAUUCGCGACGAGUACAAAACUUA